rnacentral:lncRNA from 1 species
UUUUUAAUAUGGUGUUUAGUUUUUUCCUAUAAUCCUUUUUCCUUAAUUUUGAAUUAGCUUUUUGAUUUGUUAGAGUAUUGUUCUUGAUCUUUGGAGUAGGACAAAGAACAUAUUCACCAAAUUUCAUGAGAUUUCUAAAAGGGCUGAUGAAGUAGUCUUUAUAUUCUGCUUUUUAUUUUUAUGUUAAUUUUUUUGCAAUUUAUUU